AGGACGAACGCUGGCGGCGUGCUUAACACAUGCAAGUCGAGCGGUAAGGCCUUUCGGGGUACACGAGCGGCGAACGGGUGAGUAACACGUGGGUGAUCUGCCCUGCACUCUGGGAUAAGCCUGGGAAACUGGGUCUAAUACCGGAUAUGACCUGCUCUCGCAUGGGGGGUGGGUGGAAAGAUUUAUCGGUGCAGGAUGGGCCCGCGGCCUAUCAGCUUGUGGUGGGUAAUGGCCUACCAAGGCGACGACGGGUAGCCGACCUGAGAGGGUGACCGGCCAGACUGGGACUGAGACACGGCCCAGACUCCUAUGGGAGCAGCAGUGGGAAUAUGCACAAUGGGACAAAGCCUGAUGCAGCGACGCCGCGUGAGGAUGGAACGGCCGUUCGGGUUACGUAAACCUC
rnacentral:rRNA from 1 species